GAUGAAGAACGUAGCGAAAUGCGAUAAGUAAUGUGAAUUGCAGAAUUCAGUGAAUCACCGAAUCUUUGAACGCACAUUGCGCCCGCCAGUAUUCUGGCGGGCAUGCCUGUUCGAGCGUCAUUUCAACCAUCAAGCCCCGGGCUUGUGUUGGGGACCUGCGGCUGCCGCAGGCCCUGAAAUGCAGUGGCGGGCUCGCUGUCACUCCGAGCGUAGUAGUUACAUCUCGCUCUGGGCGUGCUGCGGGUUCCGGCCGUUAAAAGCCUUAUUUACCCAAGGUUGACCUCGGAUCAGGUAGGAAGACCCGCUGAACUUAAGCAUAUCAUAAGCGGAGGA
rnacentral:misc_RNA from 1 species